AUUGAACGCUGGCGGCAGGCCUAACACAUGCAAGUCGAACGGUAACAGGAAGAAGCUUGCUUCUUUGCUGACGAGUGGCGGACGGGUGAGUAAUGUCUGGGAAACUGCCUGAUGGAGGGGGAUAACUACUGGAAACGGUAGCUAAUACCGCAUAACGUCGCAAGACCAAAGAGGGGGACCUUCGGGCCUCUUGCCAUCGGAUGUGCCCAGAUGGGAUUAGCUAGUAGGUGGGGUAACGGCUCACCUAGGCGACGAUCCCUAGCUGGUCUGAGAGGAUGACCAGCCACACUGGAACUGAGACACGGUCCAGACUCCUACGGGAGGCAGCAGUGGGGAGUAUUGCACAAUGGGCGCAAGCCUGAUGCAGCCAUGCCGCGUGUAUGAAGAAGGCCUUCGGGUUGUAAAGUACUUUCAGCGGGGAGGAAGGGAGUAAAGUUAAUACCUUUGCUCAUUGACGUUACCCGCAGAAGAAGCACCGGCUAACUCCGUG
rnacentral:rRNA from 1 species